UAGGGGCUUAGGUUAAACAUAAACCGAGGACCUUCAAAGUCCUAGACGAAAGUUCAAUUCUCUCAACCCCUGA
rnacentral:tRNA from 1 species